rnacentral:lncRNA from 1 species
CAACAUCAAUUCUCUACUUUGCCUCACACCUAUUUUCCUUGAAUGGCUCCUGCAGCCUCAUCAGAUUGUACUUUUAACAAAACUGAACCAUCUCCACUAGUUUAGUGAAUCUGAUAUUGUCCAAUUCAAAAUCUAACCUGGCUUCAUCCCCGACUUGUAACGACUCUGAAAAUUUCAAAUAAAAUAGAUUAUGAAUCUAGUGCAGAAGCGAAAUAAAUAAUGAAGGUUCACAUUCCUUACACAUAAACUUAAUGUCCCAAAUAGUGCUACGAAAAUUACCCGUUUAAAAAAAAUACAAAAAAUUAAGGAAAUAAACGUGAAUUACCUCUUUUGGCAGUCGAAAAGGGCUCCGGUGUGGCGGCAGGUGGUAGCGGCUCUCCUUCCCGGUGGUUGGGUCUUCUUCUCCGGCGAGGGCGUCUGGCGGCUAGGGUUAGGGUUUGGUGUAAAGAAGGUUAUUUAUAUAUGUCCUCAUCUAAUAUGGGUCGUCCAUCGUGUUUCAUCUGGUCCGUCCGAUUACAGUUAAAUAAGGAGUAAAUCUGGA